AUCGGUAGACGCUACGGACUU
rnacentral:tRNA from 1 species